GCCAGUAAUUCAAUGUAGAAACGCCACUGAGUACAGAACACUCUUCAUCGUCUGGUCGCUUGGCCAUUUGGGAAUCAGCAAAUAGAGGGAGUCAUGGAUGAGAAUUUCGAGCAGUUCUUGCGGUCAACAGAGGUCCCUCAAGCGGACAUCAUGCACAUGAAAAGAGACAAGGUCAACAGUUUCUGAAAGGAGCCCAGACUGUCCUCUCCCCAGCCAGUUUCACCAGCUUGCCUGGGGGGAGGGACACCAAGGCUUUUCGGCCAGGCGAGAGACAUAGUCCCUCCAUUGUGUUAUUGGACAUGCCUGAGACAACUACCCAGGAGGAGUUAGUUUGGCCUCUGUGACAUCCAAGAGGCAUUUUGACCAUGAUGUUUUCAUAAAAUGGCUUGGGGAUGUGGGCGUGGAGUUUGUGAUGAAACGGGAAGUCUGGGUUGAAGGCUUAGGGAUGCCUGAAAUGUGAGCUGAAUCUGAGCUGUUUCCAGUGAGUUUUGUGUGAGAUUGUGGUAAGGUUCGAUGAAGCCCCCAUGAAAUGUUUUAAAAAAAAACAGCCAGACUAUGUUUUACCUACAGGUAUAAAAUGUGAGAUGCCUAUCUAACACUCCAGCAUGCACAAAAAAGUGUCUUAGAGCCAUGACCUAAACCCAGCAGGGAGUCAGCCAUCAAAUUUUGAUGGUUGUUGUGCCAUUUACAAGGUCAUAUUCGAAUUAACUUGUCCUAGGGGAUUAAUUGAACCGACUUCAGACUUGAUUAACUUAUACGAAAGAAAGGCAUGGCUAGUGGCACGGUGAAGUUUGAUGUUUUGAAAUAACUCACACUGAACUGUAUCUUAUCAAUCUGCACCAAACUUCGGGUGUUGGAAAAGAUUACAAACCUCAUACUCAUAGCAAUACCUGCUGGGAAAUGGUCAAAAUGGCCACACGCCCUGAAUUGUGCAAGUGUGCAAAAGUCUGCUCAAUGCUGCUUGCAGCUUUAAUUAUAUUUUUCACCUUGUAGGGGCAUAAUCUCACAUUAUUACAUGUGUUCAACUGGAUCAGGUUCACUUUUUCAAUACCGGUGAACUUUGAUUUCCUAUUACAUAUAAUUUGUUCUUCUGAAAAGAACAAAUGACUCAAUUCAGUUUAUUCAGUUCAACAAAUCACUCUUUAUACUUCAAGAUAAAGUUUAUUAGGAAAAAACUCCAAAAUUGUUGCUGAUAAUUUAGAACAGUCACUUAAAUGACAAACCUGCAAACAUGAAAACAUAAUAA